GACGAACGCUGUUGGCGUGUCUAACACAUGCAAGUCGAGCGAAGUGAGUACUACGGUACGAACUUAGCGGCGGACGGGUGAGUAACGCGUGGACAAUCUACCCUGUAGACUGGGAUAACACCUCGAAAGGGGUGCUAAUACCGGAUAAUGUCGAGAAGCGGCAUCGCUUUUCGAAGAAAGGAGAGAAUCCGCUAUAGGAGGAGUCCGCGUCCCAUUAGCUAGUUGGCGAGGGUAACGGCCCACCAAGGCGACGAUGGGUAGCCGGCCUGAGAGGGUGAACGGCCACACUGGAACUGAGACACGGGCCAGACUCCUACGGGAGGCAGCAGUGGGGAAUAUUGUGCAAUGGGGGAAACCCUGACACAGCAACGCCGCGUGAGCGAAGAAGGCCUUCGGGUUGUAAAGCUCAAUAGUAUGGGAAGAUAAUGACGGUACCAUACGAAAGCCCCGGCUAACUACGUGCCAGCCGCCGCCGUAACAC
rnacentral:rRNA from 1 species